AUUGAACGCUGGCGGCAUGCCUUACACAUGCAAGUCGAACGGUAACGCGCUUACGGCUGCCGCCGACGGGCGACCGGGGGCGUAAUACUUCGGAACACACCCGAUCCUACUGUUUCAUGAGGCGUAAGCUUUGCUAAUUCCGCAUAAGAUCGACUGCGGACAGCAGGGGACCGCAAGGCCUUUCCCGGCCGUGCCCGCCGGUAGGAGCCGAUGUCGUAUUAGGUAGUUGGUGGGGUAAAGGCGCACCAAUGCGACGAUCCGUAGCUGGUCUGAGAGGAUGAUCAGCCACACUGGGACUGAGACACGGUCCAGACUCCUACGGGAGGCAGCAGUGGGGAAUUUUGGACAAUGGGCGCAAGCCUGAUCCAGCCAUGCCGCGUGGAGGAUGAAGGCCUUCGGGUUGUAAAGUGAUUUUGUUCGGAACGAAAAGCCUUAUGUUAAUACAGGGGGGUCAUGACGGUACCGAAAGAAUAAGCACCGGCUAACUACGUG
rnacentral:rRNA from 1 species